rnacentral:tRNA from 1 species
GCGGGCGUGGCGGAAUUGGUAGACGCAAGGGACUUAAAAUCCCUCGGCCGCAAGGUCAUGCCGGUUCGAUCCCGGCCGCCCGCACCA